rnacentral:rRNA from 1 species
GACGAACGCUGGCGGCGUGCUUAAUACAUGCAAGUCAACUUGACUUUAGAUAGCAAUAUCGAAAAGUAGGGUGGCGCACGGGUGCGUAACGCGUAGGUAAUCUGCCCUGAGGUCUGACAUAACCCGUCGAAAGGCGGGCUAACAUCAGAUGAUAUAUAAUCACGACAUCGUGGAAAUAUCAAAUCUUCGGAGCCUUGGGAUGAGCCUGCGUCUGAUUAGGUAGUUGGCGGAGUAAUAGCCCACCAAGCCUACGAUCAGUAGCUGGUCUGAGAGGAUGAUCAGCCACACUGGAACUGAGACACGGUCCAGACUCCUACGGGAGGCAGCAGUAAGGAAUAUUGCUCAAUGGGGGAAACCCUGAAGCAGCAACGCCGCGUGAAGGAUGAAAUACUUUUGAUGUAAACUUCUGUAAGAUGGGAAAAAUAUUCUCCUCGGGAGAAUUGAUUGUACCAUCAGAGUAAGCCCCGG